ACAAAAACAGAAAAUAAGGAAAGUUAGCUUGAUUGCUUAUGAAAUGUAUGAGCAAGUAGACAACUGCAUUGCACUGGACCAACGCCAUAAUCACUAUACUGUAACAACAUGAGGCUAUUCAUAUCAGAUGAAAUAUGUAAAAUCUAUAGAAUGGUGUAGAUGUUAAUUUUGAAGUACCCAACAGUUAAUUCAAUGACAAAAA
rnacentral:lncRNA from 1 species